AUGAUGAAAAUGUGAAGCACUGUCAACAAGUGUGGUUAGAGACUGAGAAUCCUGGCGUUUAGAAGGAGGCAGGAAGCUUUUGGCAGUGAAUUUACUUGUCAAAGAGGUGUUGGACAUUUGCUGUCAUAUUGGGCAAUUAGAACUUGAGCAACAGGUGGUGGAAAUGCUCUAGGAUAAUUGAAUUCAGUGUCCUGAACAGUUGUUUUGGGUGGAUUUUUGGAAAAGAAGAGGUUUAAAUAUAGAAGGUGAUAGGGUUAGGUUUCCCUUCCUUAAUUUGCCCUGGUUUCCUCUCUUCGUGUCCUACCUGUAUUGUGGAAAUGUGGCUUCUUGAAAAUAGGCUGCUGUGCAUGGUCUCAGGAAGGGAAGAGGUGGCCUAUUUCCCAAAAUAAAAUAUUUGGAUUGUAUGUUAAUCACUCUUGGAGAGGUGAAUUGACUACAGGAGUUGUGGUAGAGAAAAUACAGAGUUGCCAUGCCACUUGAGCAAGACACAGGUGUGUCAGCACCCCUGGACCUUGUGGAGCAUAAGUCGUGUAAGCAGUCUAGGACAGACCUCCUUGGAGUCGCCUUGGAUUGCUGCUUCCACUGAUGAGGUCCUGUGCUUGUGUCUGUUAAAAGGUCCUGACCAUGUCUUACUCUACAACUAGUUUUUCUCCCUCUCUUUCACCCCCUGUCCAGGAUACUUUUCAUCAUUACUUGCUGAUAUCCUCCCAUGCUUCCCACUAACCUUUCCAUUUAUUAUCGUACUUGAUCUGAAACGAGUAAAACCCCAAAGUCUCAGGUUGAAUGCUGCACUAAUGUGGUGGAAAAAAAUACAGACCCUACUGCUUUUUUUAUUCUCUUCUUAAUAUAGCUGGCUAGAAGAACACUGGUUUUAAUUUACUCAAUUUUUCUGUAUUGUUCUGCCUCUGAGAGUCCCUGUACCCCCAGCUAUGCUUUGUGAUGGCUCCUGUUAUAAAUCCUUGUUCAUUGAUGAUACACUGAUUGCAUCGACCCAGGCCUCUAAAAAAAGAAAAGCCUUUGAUAGCCUGAUUUAAAUGGGAACUUGGGUAGAAAGGAAUUUUGCGUAGUGUUUAGGUUAGACUGAGGAAGGAAACGAGCUUUUCACUGUCAGCUCUGCAUAGUUUUCAUCCCCCAGCAGUUCAGGGAGGUCAAGUUAAAUCCUUUCUUCCCUGUGUUAUUCUUUAAAUAAAAUCUGUAGCAGCAGGCAGAUAAUGAAAUCAGUGCUGAUGCACGGAGCAUUUUGAGGAAGAUGAUUAGGAAGCUGAAAGACAUAUUUCUCCUCUUCUUUUCUCCCUUCAUGAGCUCUCUCAAUGAAGGGAGAACAUCAAACAAAGCAAAACAGUAAUAGGCCCUGGUGAACUGCAGAGGAAUAACGGAGAUGUCACUGGAGAGGGACUGUGUGGUCUCAGGGAGGGUGGUUAGUCAGCUCUCUGCAAUUUGCUGCACCAGCAGCGGAGUGACAGAAGACGCACCUCUACAUCUAACUGGCCAGUGAGCUCAGGUCUGUGUUUGGGGCUCUGGUUUCCCCUCCAUCAGUUGCCAGCCCACGUGGGAAGUACGUGACUAGUAAAGAAAUUCUCCCCACAAUUUGCUAAUGCCUCAGACUGCUUUAUGCAGUGUGCCAGACUGAAUGGGUCUGAAGAGGCUUCAAGGACUGAUCAGCUCCGCUGCAAGGAGAUUUGAAGCUGGAGGUGAAUUUGGGAGCAGUGACUUUGUGCUGUGUAGUGGCUUUUAUUAACAUGCAGAAUGCAAUAAACUGUGCGUCAUUGGAGUGGGGGAACAAGUGUGGUAGGCCAUCAGAGGGACAAAAGAAGGGCUUUGUUUUUUAAAAGGAGAUACCUGCUGAUGGAGAGAUGUAACCAUACUCCUAAUUCAGUCACAGAAAUCUGAACUAAGAAAUAGGAGCUGCCCUUCAAUUCCCUUCUCUUGCAGGCUCGACAUAAAUGUUCUCCGGCAUCCUGCCCGCUACCACUCAUGGCAAUCAGCUGCUCUGGGCCUCUCUGUCUGAGGCAGCGUGACCCUGGCUCGCCUUGGCACAAAGGAGUCUUCUUGCCCUUUGUGCAUUGCAAAUGCUAAGGCACGUCUUGCUUCCUAUGAUUUUUGUGAGCUGUCCCCUUGGGCAGAUCAAGGACUGCAUCAAAAUGCAGCCUGGUAACAAAAUGAGCCCGUUAAACUUUGAAGCAAGACUCGUCUUCAGUUCUCAUGGCUUUUUUCACAUCCUUGCCUGGCUCUUGCUAGUACCACCAGGACUGGUAAGGGCCUGAAAACUGCUGUAGCUGGGUGACCACUGCAUGCUGGGGAUUUGUUCUAGAAUCUCUGCCUUCCUGAGCCGCUCUUGAAGCUUGCUGUGAAAGGAUAAAGUCACUCGGAGCUAGUGAUGUUUCUGUGCUGGGCUGCAGAGGCAACAAUGGAUGUGAGUUACGAACUCAACCUGAAUCACAGCUGGAAGUGUGCUGAGCAAGAGCAGGAGGAACAACUUUGCAAUAAGCUCCCCGUCCAUGUACCAGUGCUUGUCCUGCACCCCCAGUGCAGUGUGCUGGGAAAGGCUGCUGCGCUCAGUGCCAAGCAGUGUUACGGAUUGCCGUCACUGCUAAGCGCCUGUAUGGGGCACGGAGAGAUCCACCGAGGAUUGCAACAGAAUGAUCAAAACAGUCUGCAUUUAUAAAGAUGAAAUUACAACUUUCCACAUCUGCGAUUAAAGGAGGAGCUGUCAACGGCUGGCUUGUGAGAAUCCGCAAUUCAAUUUGCAUUUUGUAAAAUUUGAGAUUGAGGAGGUUUUUUAAUCCCUUGUGAAACCGGGAACAAUAGGCACUGGAUGUUGCCAGGUGCCUAACGCAUAUAGAUGCCGUGCAGACUUCUCUUUCAUCGUUCUCUGUAAAGCUGGAUUUAUAGCACUGUACUUUGUUACCCUAGUCCCAAGCUCCACCCUAAGCUUCCUUACACUCAUCUCUCUGCCAGGGAGUCCUGAAAGGAGGCAGCUAUAGCCUGCUGUGUCAGUUACAGCCACAUCACCGUCUGUCUUUUGUGGAGUCAGCUUUUCCUCUUGCAAAACGGGACAGGCUUUGUGCAGUGACUGCCGGCCAUACUCAUUCUGGGGCUUCUGUAGGAUAAAACCCCUAAAAUAGAAUUCAGAGUUUGCUAGUCACCCUUCUCCCUGAUAGUAUCCUGCUGUAACAGACGAUGCUUUUGUAUUCUUCCUCUGGAUCCUGUAGCUGGAGCUGCAGCUGUUUCCCCAAAGUGACAAAUUGGGUCAUUGCUCCGAUUUCAAAGUGGGAAGCAAAUAGAGCUUUGCAGUCUCCCUGCCUCCCAGAGCAGGAGAGUAAAUGCUGCUGAGCCAAAAGGUGCCGCACCUGAACAGAGCUCUGCUCAGCUGGAAGAUGUGUUCUUUUGGCUUUAACACUUGGCAUUUGGAUGUUAAGACAGUAAGUUCAAAUUGCUUGUCCGCAUUAGGGAGCUCAGAGGCAAACCUCUUAAUAGAGGAGAAAGAGGCAUCUCUGAUGUGUGUCACUCUUUCUGUGUUCGUGGGAGAUCUGAGGCAGACAGCAGGGUUGCUCAGGGAGCUGAGAUGUGUCAUUCAAAGACAACAAGCACGGGAAGGAUGGAUGUCCAGAGAUGGCACUGGGGAAGAUGGCUCUGAAUCAGCCAGGUGCCUGGGGCUAUGAAUCAAUUCCACUGCCGUAUUCAGAGGGCGCUUGGAUUCCCUUGUGGCUCAGUUAAGGCACAAAUAGGCUCCUGGGGAGCAAAGUCUUGCUAACAGCACAUGCUGUUUCAGCAGCAGCAUCUGCCUCGUUGCUGGUGUGAGCAGGCAUAUGAAAGGAUAUUAAUGCUUAGCCUUGGGUUUGCUUUCACCCGAGCACCUGUUCAUAGGAAUUCUUCUUUCGCAUUUUCCAAACCAUGGAUUUUUCCAUC